AUAAAGUUUUAUUUUUGCUUUUUAUUAUGUAUAUUUAUUUUUUAAAUAUAUUUUUUUGAAUCUAUAUUUGUAUUAUUUAAUUUUUUUAAAAAAUUUAAUUUAUGUAAAAGAAAUAAAUUUUAAAAUAGCUAAAAUUGUGCCAGCAGCUGCGGUUACACAAUUAUUUUUAUUUAAUAAUAUUUAAAUUUUGAUGUUUUGAUUGAUUUAAUAGAUGUAAUUAUUUUAAGUGAAAUUUAAUAAUUACAAAUUUGAUGAAAAUAAAAAAUUAAAGAAAGCUUGUGCGCAAACCAGGAUUAGAUACCCUGCUAUGGCUAGUCAAUAAAAAAAAUUUAGAGUAGUAAUAGAUAUAUUCAGGAAACUCAAAAAAUUUGGCGGUAUUUAUUCUAAAUAGAGGAAUAUGUUUUUAAUCGAUAAUUCACGUUUAUUCAACCUAUAUUAAUUUAUUUUGUAUAUCUCCGUCUUAAAAAAUUUUUUAGAAAAGUAAUUUUAGAGUCUUAAAAAGAAAAAGUCAGGUCAAGGUGCAGAUUAUAUAUAGGAAAAAAUGUAUUACAAUAAAAAUAUUUUUGGAAGUUUAAUGAAAUUAGAUAGAAAAUGGAUUUAUUAGUAAAUUAAUUUAAAUAAAAUUUAAUUGGAUAAGUAAAUAAAUAUGCACAUAUUGCCCGUCAUUCUCUGGGAAGAGACAAGUCGUAACAAAGUAGAUUUACUGGAAAGUGAAUCUGGACU
rnacentral:ncRNA from 1 species